rnacentral:sRNA from 1 species
GGUUUAAUUACCCAAGUUUGAGGUAUUCAAAUGCUUCCAAUCCUGCUUAUGUAGAGGUUGAAAAAGAUUUUGCAACAGUCUUCCCUAAACUGGAAAGACG